rnacentral:rRNA from 1 species
CAGCAGCCGCGGUAAUACGAAGGGGGCUAGCGUUGUUCGGAAUCACUGGGCGUAAAGGGUGCGUAGGCGGGAUCUUAAGUCAGGGGUGAAAUCCCGAGGCUCAACCUCGGAACUGCCUUUGAUACUGGGGUCCUUGAGUCCGGAAGAGGUGAGUGGAACUGCGAGUGUAGAGGUGAAAUUCGUAGAUAUUCGCAAGAACACCGGUGGCGAAGGCGACUCUCUGGUCUGUAACUGACGCUGAGGAGCGAAAGCGUGGGGAGCGAACAGGAUUAGAUACCCCUGUAGUCCCUGUCUCUUAUAC